UACGGGGGGGAGCAAGCGUUGUUCGGAUUUACUGGGCGUAAAGGGCGCGUAGGCGGCGCAACAAGUCACUUGUGAAAUCUCCGGGCUUAACCCGGAGCGGCCAAGUGAUACUGUCGUGCUAGAGUGCGGAAGGGGCUACUGGAAUUCUCGGUGUAGCGGUGAAAUGCGUAGAUAUCGAGAGGAACACCUGCGGCGAAGGCGGGUAGCUGGGCCGACACUGACGCUGAGGGCGAAAGCGUGGGAGCGAACAGG
rnacentral:rRNA from 1 species